rnacentral:rRNA from 1 species
AGAGUUUGAUCCUGGCUCAGGACGAACGCUGGCGGCGUGCUUAACACAUGCAAGUCGAACGGGAUUUAGUAAACAGAAGCCUCGGUGGAAGAUUACUAAUGAGAGUGGCGAACGGGUGAGUAACGCGUGAGCAACCUGCCUAUGACAGUGGGAUAGCCUCGGGAAACCGGGAUUAAUACCGCAUAAAAUCGUAGAAACACAUGUUUUAACGGUCAAAGAUUUAUCGGUCAUAGAUGGGCUCGCGUCUGAUUAGCUAGUUGGUGAGAUAAAAGCCCACCAAGGCGACGAUCAGUAGCCGGUCUGAGAGGAUGAACGGCCACAUUGGAACUGAGACACGGUCCAAACUCCUACGGGAGGCAGCAGUGGGGAAUAUUGCACAAUGGGGGAAACCCUGAUGCAGCGACGCCGCGUGAACGAAGAAGGUAUUCGUAUCGUAAAGUUCUGUCCUAUGGGAAGAUAAUGACAGUACCAUAGAAGAAAGCUCCGGCUAAAUACGUGCCAGCAGCCGCGGUAAUACGUAUGGAGCGAGCGUUGUCCGGAAUUAUUGGGCGUAAAGGGUACGCAGGCGGUUUAAUAAGUCGAAUGUUAAAGAUCGGGGCUCAACCCCGUAAAGCAUUGGAAACUGAUAAACUUGAGUAGUGGAGAGGAAAGUGGAAUUCCUAGUGUAGUGGUGAAAUACGUAGAUAUUAGGAGGAAUACCAGUAGCGAAGGCGACUUUCUGGACACAAACUGACGCUGAGGUACGAAAGCGUGGGGAGCAAACAGGAUUAGAUACCCUGGUAGUCCACGCCGUAAACG